UCCGACGGGGGCUAUCGUUAUUCGGAAUCACUGGGCGUAAAGCGCACGCAGGCGGAUCAAUAAGUCGGGGGUGAAAGUCCGGGGCUCAACCUCGGAAUUGCCUUCGAUACUGUCGGUCUUGAGUCCGGGAGAGGUGAGUGGAAUUCGUAGUGUAGAGGUGAAAUUCGUAGAUAUUAGGAAGAACACCAGUGGCGAAGGCGGCUCACUGGCCCGGUACUGACGCUCAGGUGCGAAGGCUUGGGGAGAAAACUGG
rnacentral:rRNA from 1 species